rnacentral:rRNA from 1 species
UACGAAGGGUGCAAGCGUUAAUCGGAAUUACUGGGCGUAAAGGGUGCGUAGGCGGUUAGUUAAGUCUGUUGUGAAAUCCCCGGGCUCAACCUGGGAAUGGCAAUGGAUACUGGCUGGCUAGAGUGUGUCAGAGGAUGGUGGAAUUCCCGGUGUAGCGGUGAAAUGCGUAGAUAUCAGGAAGAACACCUAUGGCGAAGGCAGCACUCUGGGACGGUACUGACGCUGAGACGCGAAAGCGUGGGGAGCGAACAGG